rnacentral:rRNA from 1 species
UACGGGGGUGAGCAAGCGUUGUUCGGAUUACUGGGCGUAAAGGGCGCGUAGGCGGCGUGACAAGUCACUUGUGAAAUCUCCGGGCUUAACUCGGAACGGUCAAGUGAUACUGUCGUGCUAGAGUACAGAAGGGGCAACUGGAAUUCUCGGUGUAGCGGUGAAAUGCGUAGAUAUCUGGAGGAACACCGGUGGCGAAGGCGGCACCUCGACG